rnacentral:rRNA from 1 species
GGGCGUAAAGGGUGCGUAGGUGGUCUUUCAAGUCGGUGGUUAAAGGCUACGGCUCAACCGUAUUAAGCCGCCGAAACUGGAAGACUUGAGUGCAGGAGAGGAAAGUGGAAUUCUCAGUGUAGCGGUGAAAUGCGUAGAUAUUGAGAAGAACACCAGUAGCGAAGGCGGCUUUCUGGACUGUAACUGACACUGAGGCACGAAAGCGUGGGUAGCAAACAGGAUUAGAUACCCUGGUAGUCCACGCCGUAAACGAUGAGUAUUAGGUGUCGGGGGUUACCCCCCUCGGUGCCGCAGUUAACGCAUUAAAUACUCCGCCUGGGGAGUACGCACGCAAGUGUGAAACUCAAAGGAAUUGACGGGGACCCGCACAAGUAGCGGAGCAUGUGGUUUAAUUCGAAGCAACGCGAAGAACCUUACCUAAGCUUGACAUCUCUCAGAUCGGUAGUUAAUCCUACCUUCCCUUCGGGGCUGAGAUGACAGGUGGUGCAUGGUUGUCGUCAGCUCGUGUCGUGAGAUGUUGGGUUAAGUCCCGCAACGAGCGCAACCCUUGUCUUUAGUUGCCAGCAUUAAGUUGGGCACUCUAGAGAGACUGCCAGGGAUAACCUGGAGGAAGGUGGGGAUGACGUCAAAUCAUCAUGCCCCUUAUGCUUAGGGCUACACACGUGCUACAAUGGGUGGUACAGAGGGUUGCCAAGCCGCAAGGUGGAGCUAAUCCCUUAAAGCCAUUCUCAGUUCGGAUUGUAGGCUGAAACUCGCCUACAUGAAGCUGGAGUUACUAGUAAUCGCAGAUCAGAAUGCUGCGGUGAAUGCGUUCCCGGGUCUUG